AUGCAUUAUCAAAAACAAGAAUCUUUUUAUCAACCAUCAAAACAGAUAGAUCAUCAAUAAAUAAAAUAGGACAGUCAAGCACGUUUCGAUCUAAGUGUUCAUCAACACGAUCUUUAUCACUAUCCGAGGAGUACAAAAGUGUUUCAAAGGUUUCAAGCAUCUUACCUCGAUAAGCAGAAGAAUAAGGGUCGAUUUUACCUUUUUCAUUUAAAACAAACCUUCGCUCAUCGGGGGCAUAGUGUAGUCGAAUCUCCGUUGUUGAGUUAACCUUUGUCAAAUAGAACUCAAACUUCAUGUACAACCACAUAAACUGUUU
rnacentral:lncRNA from 1 species